rnacentral:pre_miRNA from 1 species
AGGAGGAACAACCCCAGUGGCUGCGGCCAGCUGUGGAGCCUGGAGUCAGCUCACGCAGUAACUAUGGAGCUCUCAGUUUGCAGGAGUCUGGAUGCUCUGGGGUGGG